AUUGAACGCUGGCGGUAUGCUUAACACAUGCAAGUCGAACGAUGAGAAAGAGCUUGCUCUUUCGAUUAGUGGCGGAUGGGUGCGUAACGCGUAGGAAUCUACCUAUUAGUGGGGGACAACUUAGGGAAACUUAAGCUAAUACCGCAUACGCCCUACGGGGGAAAGAAGGGGAUCGCAAGACCUUUUGCUAAUAGAUGAGCCUGCGUAGGAUUAGCUAGUUGGUGGGGUAAAAGCUCACCAAGGCGACGAUCCUUAACUGGUUUGAGAGAAUGAUCAGUCACACUGGAACUGAGACACGGUCCAGACUCCUACGGGAGGCAGCAGUGGGGAAUAUUGGACAAUGGGCGAAAGCCUGAUCCAGCAAUACCGCGUGUGUGAAGAAGGCCUUAGGGUUGUAAAGCACUUUCAAUUGGAAGGAAAACCUCGAAGCUAAUACCUUCGAGUUUGACAUUACCUUUAGAAGAAGCACCGGCUAACUCUGUGCCAGCCGCCGCGGUAA
rnacentral:rRNA from 1 species